rnacentral:rRNA from 1 species
GGGUUGUGAGGUUAAGCGACUAAGCGUACACGGUGGAUGCCCUGGCAGUCAGAGGCGAUGAAGGACGUGCUAAUCUGCGAAAAGCGUCGGUAAGGUGAUAUGAACCGUUAUAACCGGCGAUGUCCGAAUGGGGAAACCCAGUGCAAUUCGUUGCACUAUCGUUAACUGAAUACAUAGGUUAACGAGGCGAACCGGGGGAACUGAAACAUCUAAGUACCCCGAGGAAAAGAAAUCAACCGAGAUUCCCCCAGUAGCGGCGAGCGAACGGGGAGCAGCCCGGAGUCUGAAUCAGCUUGUGUGUUAGUGGAAGCGUCUGGAAAGUCGCAGGGUACAGGGUGAUACUCCCGUACACUAAAACACACAGGUUGUGAACUCGAAGAGUAGGGCGGGACACGUGGUAUCCUGUCUGAAUAUGGGGGGACCAUCCUCCAAGGCUAAAUACUCCUGACUGACCGAUAGUGAACCAGUACCGUGAGGGAAAGGCGAAAAGAACCCCGGCGAGGGGAGUGAAAAAGAACCUGAAACCGUGUACGUACAAGCAGUAGGAGCCCACUAGUUGGGUGACUGCGUACCUUUUGUAUAAUGGGUCAGCGACUUAUAUUCUGUAGCAAGGUUAACCGAAUAGGGGAGCCGCAGGGAAACCGAGUCUUAACUGGGCGUUAAGUUGCAGGGUAUAGACCCGAAACCCGGUGAUCUAGCCAUGGGCAGGUUGAAGGUUGGGUAACACUAACUGGAGGACCGAACCGACUAAUGUUGAAAAAUUAGCGGAUGACUUGUGGCUGGGGGUGAAAGGCCAAUCAAACCGGGAGAUAGCUGGUUCUCCCCGAAAGCUAUUUAGGUAGCGCCUCGUGAACUCAUCUUCGGGGGUAGAGCACUGUUUCGGCUAGGGGGUCAUCCCGACUUACCAACCCGAUGCAAACUACGAAUACCGAAGAAUGUUAUCACGGGAGACACACGGCGGGUGCUAACGUCCGUCGUGAAGAGGGAAACAACCCAGACCGCCAGCUAAGGUCCCAAAGUCAUGGUUAAGUGGGAAACGAUGUGGGAAGGCCCAGACAGCCAGGAUGUUGGCUUAGAAGCAGCCAUCAUUUAAAGAAAGCGUAAUAGCUCACUGGUCGAGUCGGCCUGCGCGGAAGAUGUAACGGGGCUAAACCAUGCACCGAAGCUGCGGCAGCGACACUAUGUGUUGUUGGGUAGGGGAGCGUUCUGUAAGCCGUUGAAGGUGGCCUGUGAGGGUUGCUGGAGGUAUCAGAAGUGCGAAUGCUGACAUAAGUAACGAUAAUGCGGGUGAAAAACCCGCACGCCGGAAGACCAAGGGUUCCUGUCCAACGUUAAUCGGGGCAGGGUGAGUCGACCCCUAAGGCGAGGCCGAAAGGCGUAGUCGAUGGGAAACAGGUUAAUAUUCCUGUACUUGGUGUUACUGCGAAGGGGGGACGGAGAAGGCUAUGUUGGCCGGGCGACGGUUGUCCCGGUUUAAGCAUGUAGGCGGAUGUUCCAGGUAAAUCCGGAACGUCACUAACGCUGAGGUGUGAUGACGAGGCACUACGGUGCUGAAGUGACAAAUGCCCUGCUUCCAGGAAAAGCCUCUAAGCAUCAGGUAACAUCAAAUCGUACCCCAAACCGACACAGGUGGUCAGGUAGAGAAUACCAAGGCGCUUGAGAGAACUCGGGUGAAGGAACUAGGCAAAAUGGUGCCGUAACUUCGGGAGAAGGCACGCUGAUGGUAAGUGAAGUGACUUGCUCAUGGAGCUGAAAUCAGUCGAAGAUACCAGCUGGCUGCAACUGUUUAUUAAAAACACAGCACUGUGCAAACACGAAAGUGGACGUAUACGGUGUGACGCCUGCCCGGUGCCGGAAGGUUAAUUGAUGGGGUUAUCCUCACGGAGAAGCUCUUGAUCGAAGCCCCGGUAAACGGCGGCCGUAACUAUAACGGUCCUAAGGUAGCGAAAUUCCUUGUCGGGUAAGUUCCGACCUGCACGAAUGGCGUAAUGAUGGCCAGGCUGUCUCCACCCGAGACUCAGUGAAAUUGAACUCGCUGUGAAGAUGCAGUGUACCCGCGGCAAGACGGAAAGACCCCGUGAACCUUUACUAUAGCUUGACACUGAACACUGGUCCUUGAUGUGUAGGAUAGGUGGGAGGCUUUGAAGUGUGGACGCCAGUCUGCAUGGAGCCAUCCUUGAAAUACCACCCUUUAAUGGCUGGUGUUCUAACGUGGGCCCGUGAUCCGGGUUGCGGACAGUGUCUGGUGGGUAGUUUGACUGGGGCGGUCUCCUCCUAAAGAGUAACGGAGGAGCACGAAGGUCAGCUAAUCCUGGUCGGACAUCAGGAGGUUAGUGCAAUGGCAUAAGCUGGCUUGACUGCGAGCGUGACGGCGCGAGCAGGUGCGAAAGCAGGUCAUAGUGAUCCGGUGGUUCUGAAUGGAAGGGCCAUCGCUCAACGGAUAAAAGGUACUCCGGGGAUAACAGGCUGAUACCGCCCAAGAGUUCAUAUCGACGGCGGUGUUUGGCACCUCGAUGUCGGCUCAUCACAUCCUGGGGCUGAAGUAGGUCCCAAGGGUAUGGCUGUUCGCCAUUUAAAGUGGUACGCGAGCUGGGUUUAGAACGUCGUGAGACAGUUCGGUCCCUAUCUGCCGUGGGCGCUGGAGAAUUGAGGGGGGCUGCUCCUAGUACGAGAGGACCGGAGUGGACGCAUCACUGGUGUUCGGGUUGUCAUGCCAAUGGCAUUGCCCGGUAGCUAAAUGCGGAAGAGAUAAGUGCUGAAAGCAUCUAAGCACGAAACUUGCCCCGAGAUGAGUUCUCCCUGACUCCUUGAGAGUCCUGAAGGAACGUUGAAGACGACGACGUUGAUAGGCCGGGUGUGUAAGCGCAGCGAUGCGUUGAGCUAACCGGUACUAAUGAACCGUGAGGCUUAACCUUACAACGCCGAAG